rnacentral:rRNA from 1 species
UACGGGGGGUGCGAGCGUUGUCCGGAUUCACUGGGCGUAAAGGGCGCGUAGGCGGCCGAGUCAGUCGGGCCUGUAAGUGCGGGGCUUAACCCCGUGAUGGGCCCGGGACGGCGCGGCUGGGGCGCGGUCGAGGGAGACGGAAUGCCGGGUGUAGUGGUGAAAUGCGUAGAGAUCCGGCGGAACACCGGGUGGUGAAGACGGUCUCCUGGGCCGAGGGCCGACGCUGAGGCGCGAAAGCUAGGGGAGCAAACGGG